UCCAGACUCCUACGGGAGGCAGCAGUGAGGAAUAUUGGUCAAUGGGCGGAAGCCUGAACCAGCCAAGUCGCGUGAGGGAAGAAGGCCCUGCGGGUCGCAGACCUCUUUGGACGGGGAGCAAGGCCGCCGACGUGUCGGCGGAAGGAGAGUACCCGUAGAACAAGCAUCGGCUAACUCCGUGCCAGCAGCCGCGGUAAUACGGAGGAUGCGAGCGUUAUCCGGAUUUAUUGGGUUUAAAGGGUGCGCAGGCGGCACGGCAAGCCGGGGGUCAAAUCGCGGGGCUCAACCCCGCCCAGCCGUCGGAACUGCCGGGCUAGAGUGGGCGAGAAGUGCGCGGAAUGCGUGGUGUAGCGGUGAAAUGCAUAGAUAUCACGCAGAACUCCGAUUGCGAAGGCAGCGUACCGGCGCCGGACUGACGCUGAGGCACGAAAGCGUGGGUAUCGAACAGGAUUAGAUACCCCAGUAGG
rnacentral:rRNA from 1 species